rnacentral:rRNA from 1 species
GAUGAACGCUGGCGGCGUGCUUAACACAUGCAAGUCGAACGGUGAAGCAGGAGCUUGCUCCUGUGGAUCAGUGGCGAACGGGUGAGUAACACGUGAGCAAUCUGCCCUGGACUCUGGGAUAAGCGUUGGAAACGACGUCUAAUACCGGAUACGAGGCGUGGGGGCAUCCCCAACGCCUGGAAAGAACUUCGGUCCAGGAUGAGCUCGCGGCCUAUCAGGUAGUUGGUGAGGUAACGGCUCACCAAGCCUACGACGGGUAGCCGGCCUGGGAGGGUGACCGGCCACACUGGGACUGAGACACGGCCCAGACUCCUACGGGAGGCAGCAGUGGGGAAUAUUGCACAAUGGGCGCAAGCCUGAUGCAGCAACGCCGCGUGAGGGACGACGGCCUUCGGGUUGUAAACCUCUUUUAGCAGGGAAGAAGCCAAAGUGACGGUACCUGCAGAAAAAGCACCGGCUAACUACGUGCCAGCAGCCGCAGUAAAAC